CUACUUACCCGGCACGGAGGAUGCCAUGAUCACGAAGGUGGUUUCCCAGGGCCUGGCUCACCCAUUGCACUCUGGAUGUGCCGACCCCUGCGAUUCUCCCAAACGUGGAAAACUCAACUGCCUCAUUUGUGGUAGUGGGGCCAAAAUAAUUAUUAAAUGCCUAC